UUAUUUUUUUUAAAUUAAAUAAAAAAAUCCAUUGGAUCAUUAAAAUGUGUUGGAUGGAUUGGAUCAAUCCAUGUUUAUAAAUGGAUGGAUUGGAUCAAUCCAUUAACUUAAUUUUUAUUUAGUGGAUGGAUUGGAUGGUGGAUCAAUCCAUGUUUAUAAAUGGAUGGAUUGGAUCAAUCCAUUAACUUAAUUUUUAUUUAGUGGAUGGAUUGGAUGGAUUUUUUGAUGGAUGGAUUGGAUGGAUUUUGUGUUAAUGGAUC
rnacentral:lncRNA from 1 species